rnacentral:rRNA from 1 species
GAUGAACGCUGGCGGCGUGCCUAACACAUGCAAGUCGAACGAGAUGCGUAUUGGAAAGCUUCGGCCGGAAGAUGCGUUAUCUAGUGGCGGACGGGUGAGUAACACGUGGGUAACCUGCCUUAUGGAGGGGGAUAACAGGGAGAAAUCACUGCUAAUACCGCAUAAGCACACAUUGCCGCAUGGCAGAGUGUGAAAAGAUUUAUCGCCAUAAGAUGGACCCGCGUCUGAUUAGCCAGUUGGCAGGGUAAAAGCCUACCAAAGCAACGAUCAGUAGCCGAUCUGAGAGGAUGACCGGCCACAUUGGGACUGAGACACGGCCCAAACUCCUACGGGAGGCAGCAGUGGGGAAUAUUGCACAAUGGGGGAAACCCUGAUGCAGCGACGCCGCGUGAGUGAAGAAGUAUUUCGGUAUGUAAAGCUCUAUCAGCAGGGAAGAUAAUGACAGUACCUGACUAAGAAGCCCCGGCUAACUACGUGCCAGCAGCCGCGGUAAUACGUAGGGGGCAAGCGUUAUCCGGAUUUACUGGGUGUAAAGGGAGCGUAGACGGAAUGGCAAGUCUGAAGUGAAAACCCCGGGCUCAACCUGGGGACUGCUUUGGAAACUGUUGUUCUAGAGUGUUGGAGAGGUAAGUGGAAUUCCUGGUGUAGCGGUGAAAUGCGUAGAUAUCAGGAAGAACACCGGAGGCGAAGGCGGCUUACUGGACAAUAACUGACGUUGAGGCUCGAAAGCGUGGGGAUCAAACAGG